rnacentral:rRNA from 1 species
UGAGGAAUAUUGGUCAAUGGGCGCAGGCCUGAACCAGCCAAGUAGCGUGAAGGAUGACUGCCCUAUGGGUUGUAAACUUCUUUUAUAUGGGAAUAAAGUUUUCCACGUGUGGAAUUUUGUAUGUACCAUAUGAAUAAGGAUCGGCUAACUCCGUGCCAGCAGCCGCGGUAAUACGGAGGAUCCGAGCGUUAUCCGGAUUUAUUGGGUUUAAAGGGAGCGUAGGUGGACAGUUAAGUCAGUUGUGAAAGUUUGCGGCUCAACCGUAAAAUUGCAGUUGAUACUGGCUGUCUUGAGUACAGUAGAGGUGGGCGGAAUUCGUGGUGUAGCGGUGAAAUGCUUAGAUAUCACGAAGAACUCCGAUUGCGAAGGCAGCUCACUGGACUGCAACUGACACUGAUGCUCGAAAGUGUGGGUAUCAAACA